GCUUAACGCGAAGAACCUUACCCAGGCUAGAAAAGUAGAGAACCCUGUAGAAAUAUGGGGUGCCUCGGGAGCUCUAUCAGUGCUGCAUGGCUGUCGUCAGCUCGUGUCGUGAGAUGUUGGGUUAAGUCCGCAACGAGCGCAACCCUUGUCAUUAGUUGCUAACGGUCUGGCCGAGCACUCUAAUGAGACUGCCGGGGUUAACCCGGAGGAAGGUGGGGAUGACGUCAAGUCCUCAUGGCCCUUAUGUCUGGGGCUACACACGUGCUACAACGGUCGGUACAAAGCGCAGCGAGCCCGUGAGGGGGAGCGAAUCGCAAAAAGCCGGCCUCAGUACGGAUUGCAGUCUGCAACUCGACUGCAUGAAGGCGGAAUCGCUAGUAAUCGUUGAUCAGCAGGCAACGGUGAAUACGUUCCCGGGUC
rnacentral:rRNA from 1 species